UCAACUAGGUCCAUGGGCACAGGCCCAGAGG
rnacentral:piRNA from 1 species